CACGUAGGGUGCGAGCGUUGUCCGGAAUUAUUGGGCGUAAAGAGCUCGUAGGCGGUCCGUCACGUCGGAUGUGAAAUUCCAGGGCUCAACCCUGGACCUGCAUUCGAUACGGGCGGACUAGAGUUCGGUAGGGGAGACUGGAAUUCCUGGUGUAGCGGUGAAAUGCGCAGAUAUCAGGAGGAACACCGGUGGCGAAGGCGGGUCUCUGGACAGUUCCUGACGCUGAGGCACGAAGGCCAGGGGAGCAAACGGG
rnacentral:rRNA from 1 species